rnacentral:misc_RNA from 1 species
GAAAUGCGAUAAGUAAUGUGAAUUGCAGAAUUCAGUGAAUCAUCGAAUCUUUGAACGCACAUUGCGCUCCUUGGUAUUCCGGGGAGCACGCCUGUUUGAGAAUCAUUAAAACCACAUCACUGUUUGUCUUGCCCUCGGGUGAGACCGGUGGAAUUGAGCAUUUCUUCCCCUUCACUGGCGGAAGAAUGACUUGAAAUUGAAUGUCGGGAGAUCCUCCGGUACCAAUCCGCAGGUAUUUCAAGCGCAUGAAAGGGUGUUUACACUUUGGAAUUCGUUUGUCCACCUGCUGAAUGAUGAGGGGAGGUUCGCACGACUUCUGGAUGAUAUUCCUCGUCCAGUACCCAAAACUGUUUGGUGACAAUUUGCCAUCGAGCAGUUGAACUCUUGGUCUCAAAUCAGG